CGACCCCAAUGUUAUUCGGCAAACUUUCAGAUAAAACUACACUCAGCGAAGUAAACUACCGAAAUUCAUCAAAAUACCUUAUGAAAUUUAGCCAUAACUGUUAAGUAUGGAUGCCAUAAGAAUACCUUAUGAAAAUUGAACAUGCUUAUUAUGACCUAAUUACAUAAGAUAAACUUAUGAAAAGAGCAGAAAAAUCACAAAAUGAUGCAAAUUGGAAUCGAUCCAUGAACGUCGAGAUCACUGAGCUCGUGCCCAACCCACGCGGCUAUCGACGCUUGAGAAUGUCGUGUUGCUAAAAUGUGUAUAAAAGCCAAACUGUGAGUCGAUGCUGCGUCAUAGAUCGACCUUAUGAAAAUCGUUCUAGCCGUUAUGAAUUGUUUAAAGGCCAUUUCAUAAGUUAGACCUUAUGAUAAUGUUAGUUUUAUUUGCCUGGGUGUACAAGGUUAAAUUCAUCCAUACAUUGUUUUUCGAUAGCAUGCGUCUGAACUGAGAUAAUACCGUCAGUGUACCACUAGCCGCUCAUGACCCAAUAGCCGCUCACUGUUGCAAAAAUCAAGUUUACACGCAUAAAUACACUCUUUUCGGUGCUGAUAUUCUUGGACAAUAUAAAUUAGACGAGAGCAAAGCCAUUUUAUGGAAUAUUUACCGGAUAACAUAAAUUUUAAAAACAAAACAAUGAAAUUUUUUGAGCGGCCAUUGGGCCCAAAAAAAGCUGUAGCUAAUUCCAUGUGUUCCAAUAACCGCUCACGCAAAAAAAUACGUCAAAAUCGUAAAAAAUAAUUGUAAAAACAUAGAGUUGCAAAAAUAAUGCACUUUUCCGCAAAAGUCUAUUUAAAAGAUGGCAUAAAUUUGUUCGUGAGCGGAAUUAGGACCACUUUGGUCUCACACCAAAUGUAAUAAAAUCAUACUUUUAUGAAAAGUUUUACAUAAGUCUUGAUUUGUAUCUGAUUGCACUUAGAUUGAACUAACAUAAAAUGGAAAAACAUUACAAAUUGGCUUAACAGUCAUUCAACAGAUGAUGUUUUUCUGCGAAACUGGCCUUAGAUGAGCGGAAUCUGGUACCCUGAUGGUUGCAAGUGAAUGUAAGUCUUUGCAACUGAAUGGUCGCACCCUUGAAUUUUACUCCUGCAAAGAAAAAUCGAUACACGGAGAAUAAUGGGUCCGGUUUGAAACAACAAACAGGUUUGUUAUUUUUUAAACUAGAAAAAUAGUAGUUUUUAAACAAAAUUUUGUUGUUCCAAACCAAACAUUUUGAUUAGAAACAACCACCGGUUCCAGUUGUUUCUACUUACAGCAGUAAAACGUAAACAAAAUCGAUAACAGUAGUUUCAUACUAUCACGUUUGUUGUAUCCCAACAAAACAUUAGUUUGUUUUUACUAAUAUCUGGUUUGUUAAUUCUGGUGAUGAUUGCAAGAAUCAAACCAAACAAUUAGUUAUUUCAAACCAAAGCAGUCGGUCGAAACAAACUAAUAUUUCGUUUGAAGAAAUUACAACUAAUAUCUUAGUUCAAAGCAAACCAAUAUUUUAGUUUGUUCAACUUUUUUCGUUCAUCGCCAGUUUUGGUCUGCUGACUGAUUUUGUGCAACAAUCACAUUCCACGGUGCAUGUAACUGAAGUUUGUGUUGCCAUCAUUUUCGGUUUGCGCUCUGGCCUAGAGAAGGGUUUCUACCUUGGAAGAGAAGCGCAAAGUUAUCAUUCAACAUAGGUCUUAGAGGGCACCAAUUCUUGUAUUCUACGGCCAUUUAUAUUACGCAUUGAUCCCAGCACACUUUCGGAGGAUAACCUGAAUGAAAUGGCCGGCUACACUAUAGUGUAAGUGUAGUAUAAGUGUAGUAAGUGUAGUAUAAGCACAUACAGGAAAACAACCUCGAUGGAGAUCCAGAUUGAAUUGUGAUUCUAAGUGAUGUGUGUGCCCAUUUAAAAACAUAUUUAUAAUGGUUUUUCAAAUAAACGAACAAUAAUACAACAUGUUUAUUUUCCAUUGAAAUGCGAAUAAAAGGAAGGUGGAAUGAAGAAGAAGAUUGAGGAAAGGGAGGAUGAAGAAGAAGAAGUAAAAAUACAUAAUAAGUAACUUCAACAAACAUGUUGUUUGAUUCGAACGACGGCGUUUGUUAUUUUGAACUAUAUAUUAGUAGAAUUAAACUAAGCCGUAUUGGCUGGUUCAACUACCAUUUCGGUUUGUUUACGAAACUGUCAAAAUUGAACAACGUACAGAAUGGUAAAAUCAAACUAACGUUUGUUGAAUUUGCUAGCAAUAUUUUUACUGAUAUGUUGGUUUAUUUCAACCGACGUGGGUAGUUAAAAUAACUAAUAUUUUGUUUGUGCCAAAUUUAAACUGGCAUUCCGGUUGAAUCAAACUAAUAAUUGUUUGUCUUUACUAAUUAUUUUUCUCCGUGUAGGAGUCACCCCUACCUAGAUCCCUAAAAAUAAAUCGAUGAAUGAUUUCUGUAGAAAACUUCACUAGGUAUUAGACACAUAUGUGUAUUAGACCUCCGAAGACUGCAAACCGAUGCGACGUUCGUGGAAAAAGUUAUUUUAGGCCUCAUCCGAUCGAUAAAAUGAUGGGAUUUUAUAACCUGUGGCGAUUUUCUUUAAAAAAGUGAUUUUCCCCAUACUAAAUCGUAUGAGAACUUGAAAUGGCUGGUGCUAAAAUAUAGUAGUUUCUCCGAUCGAGCUGAAAUUUUGCACAGUUGAUAUGGGGCCAAAAUGGAACUCAAAAAGUGUACAGGGGUAUGUAAAAUGCCUUUUUGUGUCCCACGCUAAUCCAUAUACGGGAGAACAAAAAUGUUUACAAAGUUCUUACAGUUUUUUAUGCACGGGAAAUUUGAACACAAAUCACUACCACAGAGGCUUUUGAAUUGGUCAAUACUUUCCUUGACCUGAUAAACAGUGUAAACUAGCAGGCUACCGUUAAUAAAGUUACAAUUACAAUUACAUAAAAAAUACAAAACAAAAAAAAUCAAAUGGAAUGAAUUGAAAUGGUUAUAGCAUAGCAGCAAGUGCCCAAAGUAGGUGCAUCCGCCCAAGAUCCUAAAUACAAUAGUCCAUUUUACGAGCCGAUUUUAUGAAUGAAUUUUGGCAGGAGGUAGCGUCCGUGAAAAUCAAUAUCAUCUUCAACAUUGUUGUCACUUCGUAAAAUGGCUCAUUACUCCUACCUGUUCUGAUCAGAACAGAAGCAUCGAAAUCACUUCCAAAACAAUGAAAGAUGAAAGCGAAGCAAAUUUACCGGAUCUUUGGGGAGAGUAUGGCGGCGGAUAUUUCGGAUGGAACAAAUUGAUCGUGGGUACUUACAGUAUUUGCCAGUUAUUUUUUUUAUUCAUCAACUAUGGCGCCAAAUGGCCACCGGAAUAUCAACAAAAUGGUCAUUCCCUCAAUCCAGAUGCGUAGAGAUGAUGAAUAAAACGAACCGCAAAAGGAAACAUCCGGGGCA